GUCUCCGAUGAUGAACAAUAAAAUAUAACUUUCGUUCUUCUGAGUUCUUUUUGUGCGGAAGAAAAUUAUUGGAGACCUGAACUGAGGAGAC
rnacentral:snoRNA from 1 species